CGCACGCGGGUACGCGGGCACGCGGGCACGGGGCUCGCUCCUGAAGGGGCAGUUGGAGGAGGGGAGCUGGCGCCGGGGUCGUGGUGGCCCGAGCGGCCUCGGCCUCCAGGUCUACGCCUGCGGGACCCGCCGCGGCUCCGUCACCGGAGAGCGAGGGCCCGCUGCCGUCGGUACUGACUGAGCCACGUUUAGAGGGAGACGCUUACUCAGCUCGCAUGACGCAGAUCUAUUGGAGCUCAAUUUUAAUUCAUCCCAUUCCAUUCCAAAAGACUUGCUAACACGUUCAUUCCGGACCUAGUGGAUGUUUUACUGCUUGCAUUUUUUUUGGAGGAUGUUGAACUCCCACAAUCAGAUAAUAUAUACCGAUGUGGUAGAGAUCCGUGUGAGAGGGAGUGAGGUUGGGGUAGGCUGCGGAGCGUUUGUAAUGCCCAGCUGCGCAGAUAGAGGUGAUUUUUACUGGGAGAGGCGUGACAAGCCUUCAGCCUUAAGAAGAGUAACCUGUGGGGCGCCCUUGGGGAGAAUUGGAAUGCAACAUGCUAAAGAUUUAGAGCAUUUCGGGGGUUUAGCGUGGGCUGAGAAGGAGGCUGUGAGGAAGUCUCCAGUGACAGGAAAGCAGAUGGAAGAUAGGUGUGAUCAGGUACACAGGGAGUGAGAUUUAAGGACACAGUAGGUGAGAUAAAGGAGUAAAA
rnacentral:lncRNA from 1 species